rnacentral:lncRNA from 1 species
GGUGCGCAUGCUCUGUGGAGGCCCGCACAGGCCCUGAGUGAACUCUGAUAGAGCCUUCGCAAGGCGGGCCCCAGAUUCGCAAUGAAGAGCCCCACGCCACAUGAAAUGUGAGCAAGUCCACCCACCUCAUCUACCCUGGCGGCCAGUUCCUCGUUGGACCAGAUCCCUUCUAUCAUAAGCUCCUCCUCAGCACAUGGUUAUUACUGGAAUGCUGGUGGUUUGGGCAACUCUUUUUCUGGUGAGAUGGUGCAGUGGGAAGGGACAUUGACUAUUUGAAGAGCAAACAACCAAGAUAAAAUCUUAAAAGCAGGCAGAGAGAAAAGAUACAGAAGACUCACACUGACUUCUCAAGUGAAACAAUGGAAGCCAAAAGACAAUAAAGUAAUAUCUUCAAAGCCCUGAAAGAGAAUAACUACGAGUGGAAGUCUAUGCAAGCACAGAUAUCCUUCCAAAAUAAAGAGGAAAUAAAUACACUUUUAGAAAAACAACGCUUGAGAAAUCUCAUCACCAGCUGACCUGCACAAAAGGAAAUCCUAAAGGGUGUUCUUCAGGCAGAAGGAAAAUAAACUCAAAUGUAAUCUGGGAGAUGCAGGAAGGAAUGAAGAACAAUAGAAAAGGUACAUCCCACUUCCAGCGGGCUGUCCCUCGGUGCUGGCUUGGCUUCUUGGGAAAAGAGUGAAGAAUCAGAGCCUACACGCUGCUGCUGAGCUCCACAGCCUCCAUCUUGCCUCCUCCUGUUUAGACGAUGCGGGUCCUAGUUCUGGGAAGCCCUUCCACUGGAGGACCGUGUGAGCUGUUGUGUCCACAGUAGCCUGGAAAGGGUGAGGGCAAAGGGCUGGGGGACCGGUCAGAAGGCACCUACCACAAUCCAGGUAGGAGGUGACAGUGCUGCAGCCAGGCUGCACGGCGAAGGAUGGGAGGGGCCCCCGGAGAAACCUGAAUCAGGUACCACAGUAACGGGGAACGUGGAGGAGGGCGUGAUUCACUCCAAGGCCGCUUUCCCAGGGGAUGUGACUCAGGCAGGAUUUUGAAAAAUGAGCAGUUCAGCAGGCACUCAAGAGGGUGAGAACAUUCCAACACCGGUGUGCCGGGGCCCCAUUGAGAGGGAGCCAGGCCUGUUUGGGGACCUAUGAAGCAGCAUCACAUCAGAGCAGAAGGGUCAGGGAAGGCCAGAUGGGGAAGGAGCUCGCCGCUCUGCCAAGGGUGUUGUCCUCUGGGCGCCAGGGAGUUCAGGAAGAAUUUUAAGCCUGGGGGCCGGUGGUGCUUAAGACCUAAAACUUGCUAUUAAGAAAAGUCCCGUGGUCACCAUGAACGGCCUGGGGGGAGGUGGCAGGGAAAACCCAGAGGGGAAGCAGAAAAUGAGGGCUGACCCCGGGGCAGUGGGAGAGAGGGAAGGAGGCAUGAGAACCGUUUAGGGAGAAGAGAGGAUCAGGGCCGUGUGGGUUUGGGGAAAGAGGAGCAGGCUGUUUUGAGGAAGAGAAUGAGUCAUGUGGGGGCCGGCUGAAUUGGAGGAUCCGCUGGGGGAUCAGACAGCCAAGCCCCAGAGCAGCCAAUGUUGGAGUCUGGAGCUCAGCGGAGGGGACUUGGGUCCAGAAGCCUCAAGGGACAGGUGGCAUUUAAGCUGUGGAAGGCCACCAGCUAAAAGGCAUCUCCAGAUUUUUACCUUUAGUAAGAUCUGAAUAGAGGUAUAUUUCCCUCCUCUUUGCCUCUUUCCCAAGGCCUUUGAGAGAUACAGUGAGAAAAACAUUCUUGAGGGUAAAGAGGAGGGAUCCAGGAGGGGAUCCUCCUAGGGCAGCACGGAGGAAUCCCUGGGCUGGUCCCACUUCACCCCACGGUGUCUGCGGGCAGAGGGGCCUGGAUAGGCAGGGCUCUUGGUAUCCAUUGUCCGUGGGUCUCUGCAUGCAGAUAUGUAAAGUUAUGUGUUUUCAUCUCCCCGUGAUUCCUGUUUUCCUGCAGCCCUUCCCGCUGAGGCAUAUUGCCCAAUAAAGUAGAGGGGUGAAUUCGAAGCAAGACCUCAAGCAGGGGGUGAAGCGGACAUGAUGUAGAGAAGCUGCUGCUGAUGGCAAUGGGACCAGAAAAGGGGGGCCUAAGGAAGAGAGAACAUGAGAAGCAAAAAGGGCAGCCCCUUAACCUUCAACCUCAGAGGCUCGUGUGGGAGAAACCCAGUCAGGUCUGAGGGGAGAUCUCACAGCAAGGGGGUGGGUGGGACUUGACUCAGAUUGCAGUGGGGAGAAAUUUUAAUGACACCCCCUCCCUAGCAAACCAGCGAUGCAAGAUGGUGCCAGCACAAUAUGGUGCCAGUGAGGAGGUGGUUUGGAAUGGCUGAGGAAGGGAGUCUGGGAAGUGGCUUCAUGCAACGCUGCUCGUUCUAGUGAGAAUGCAGCCAGGUAGUCCUAGGUCCCAGGGGCCGCAGAGCCAAGAUCUGCCUCACCAGCUAUGUGCAGGGACCAUGCACUUUGGCUUCACCUCUUCCUGCCCCUACCCCACCAGCAAGCCCCAGGGACCAGGCAGGACCAUCUCUGUCCUGCGCGCGCGCGCGUGUGUGUGUGUGUGUGUGUGUGUAAGAAUGCAGGGGACUCCACUCAGACCUUCAACCCUCUUGUCCCACCACCGUGAGGCCCAUGAACAUCUCUCUGCACCAGGAAAUUAUCUUGGCUGGGAGAAGGCGGAAGGGUGAGAAAACCUUGGAAUACUGAGCAAUUUUACUCAAAAGAGACUGAGUUAAUCAUACAGAAAUGGAGCUAUGUCUAAGGGGCAAUUUAAUGGUUUCUUUUUGUUUGUUUUCUUUUUGCCCGUCAGUAGUAGGAAUUAUCAGAUCACGAUGAGAAGAGUAUAAGAAAAAGUAAGAACAAUACUGGUUUGACCCAUCUGGGUAGGUGUGUGUGUGUGAUCUUUAGCCCUCCCACAAUUAUGUCUGUACACGUUUGCUGGGGCAACUGUAUAUUUUCAAUUCCAAUCGUCAGACCUUUCCUUGAAGCUCACGUGUGUUUUGAUCUGGCCAGGAAUUGAGAAUCAUAAAAUCAUUAAAUCUGUAUUAAUUACCUAUUGCUGCAUAGUAAGUUAAUCCAAAAUUUAGCUGAAAUAAAUAUGUAUUAUCUCACA